rnacentral:rRNA from 1 species
UACCCGAAUGGGGAAACCCAGUGUGACUCGUCACACUAUCAUUAACUGAAUCCAUAGGUUAAUGAGGCGAACCGGGGGAACUGAAACAUCUAAGUACCCCGAGGAAAAGAAAUCAACCGAGAUUCCCCCAGUAGCGGCGAGCGAACGGGGAGGAGCCCAGAGCCUGAAUCAGCAUGUGUGUUAGUGGAAGCGUCUGGAAAGGCGCGCGAUACAGGGUGACAGCCCCGUACACAAAAGCGCAUGUGCUGUGAGCUCGAUGAGUAGGGCGGGACACGUGGUAUCCUGUCUGAAUAUGGGGGGACCAUCCUCCAAGGCUAAAUACUCCUGACUGACCGAUAGUGAACCAGUACCGUGAGGGAAAGGCGAAAAGAACCCCGGCGAGGGGAGUGAAAAAGAACCUGAAACCGUGUACGUACAAGCAGUGGGAGCACCCUUUGGGUGUGACUGCGUACCUUUUGUAUAAUGGGUCAGCGACUUAUAUUCUGUAGCAAGGUUAACCGAAUAGGGGAGCCGGAGGGAAACCGAGUCUUAACCGGGCGUUAAGUUGCAGGGUAUAGACCCGAAACCCGGUGAUCUAGCCAUGGGCAGGUUGAAGGUUGGGUAACACUAACUGGAGGACCGAACCGACUAAUGUUGAAAAAUUAGCGGAUGACCUGUGGCUGGGGGUGAAAGGCCAAUCAAACCGGGAGAUAGCUGGUUCUCCCCGAAAGCUAUUUAGGUAGCGCCUCGUGAAUUCAUCUCCGGGGGUAGAGCACUGUUUCGGCUAGGGGGCCAUCCCGGCUUACCAACCCGAUGCAAACUGCGAAUACCGGAGAAUGUUAUCACGGGAGACACACGGCGGGUGCUAACGUCCGUCGUGAAGAGGGAAACAACCCAGACCGCCAGCUAAGGUCCCAAAGUCAUGGUUAAGUGGGAAACGAUGUGGGAAGGCCCAGACAGCCAGGAUGUUGGCUUAGAAGCAGCCAUCAUUUAAAGAAAGCGUAAUAGCUCACUGGUCGAGUCGGCCUGCGCGGAAGAUGUAACGGGGCUAAACCAUGCACCGAAGCUGCGGCAGCGACACUGUGUGUUGUUGGGUA